rnacentral:lncRNA from 1 species
AGGGAUUUAUGUAAGUUACCCUUUGAAAAACUAGAUAUGCACGACCCGUUUUAUAUUUUUUUUAUUUCAACUUAUGUGAUGUAAAUAGAAUUUAGAUAAUUAAUCAUUAAAAUAAUUUAAGUUUUAAAUUAUUGUGAUUUAUAAUACUUUUUUUUCUAUUUCAAUUUAAGUGACAAUAAUAUAAUUUCGAGAGACGGUCAAAUAUUUUAUAUUUUUUAAUUUUUAAAAUUGCUAAUUAUCUGAUUUAUAAAAUUUUCAAUAAGUUAUGAAU